CUCUUCUUCAUGAAGCUUUGGAUGAGUAAACAAGAUCAGUCACAAAAUGUGAAAGAAAGAAAGACAGAAAGAACAUACAACUCUUCCUGUAGCUUUCUUCUCCCUCUUUUCCGUUGAAAAUAUGGACAAUAGAGUUUGUUGUCUCAUCAAGGUGAAGGACACCGUACUGAUUGAUUUAGGGACUGGCAAGAUACCCAACUUUAUCAAAUUGGACACAGAUCUCAAGACUGAGUCCCCAGUGAAUUUGUGACCCCACAAUGGAGAUCUAAUGGAGGUUUCUGGAGCAGUUGGCACAUCUCUAGGAGACACAUCUUGAAUUUCAGAAGAAAUAUGUGCCAUCUCAAAUAAAAUUUUCUUCAGCUACUUUUCUCACCUUGUUUUUCAACCCUGCGAGUUCACAUGCUGCUUUGGCAGACCUACACAGAUAAACCGUCUAGACCAUCACAGUGGUUCUCAACCUGAGUAGCUGUGACACCACAAGAUGACUGGUCUCCUAGCAAUUAAAGUGUAACAUUCAGCCAGUGUUCACUUCCCUAUGAAAUUUAUCCAGUUAAAGCAAGAUAUGGGCUGCUUACUUAAACAGUAACUUAAAAAAAUGAGAUCUGCAAAAUCUCUUUCCUAAAGAGUCUUAAACACAUCACAUAAAUAAAUCCAUUUCGUUUCUGAAAUAAAAGUGAUUUCUCUCCCUUCUACACACAUACUCUUAGCGCCAGUAGUGUUCCCAAGCCACACUUUGGUCUGCUCGCCUGUGUGCAGUAAAGCCAAUCUACUUACACCCGGUUGUGGUGAAGGUAAGUGUAGCCUUUAUUGCAGGUGCCAAGCAAGGAGUCCAGGCAGCUAG